rnacentral:rRNA from 1 species
AUUGAACGCUGGCGGCAUGCUUUACACAUGCAAGUCGAACGGCAGCGCGGACUUCGGUCUGGCGGCGAGUGGCGCACGGGUGAGUAAUAUAUCGGAACGUGCCUAAUAGUGGGGGAUAACUAGGUGAAAGAAUAGCUAAUACCGCAUGAGAUCUACGGAUGAAAGCAGGGGAUCGUAAGACCUUGCGCUAAUAGAGCGGCCGAUAGCUGAUUAGCUAGUUGGUAGGGUAAAGGCCUACCAAGGCUAUUAUCAGUAGCUGGUCUGAGAGGACGAACCGCCACACUGGGACUGAGACACGGCCCAGACUCCGACGGGAGGCAGCAGUGGGGAAUUUUGGACAAUGGGGGCAACCCUGAUCCAGCAAUGCCGCGUGCAGGAUGAAGGCCUUCGGGUUGUAAACUGCUUUUGGUAGGGAAGAAACGGUGAGUAUUAAUACUAUUUACUAAUGACGGUACCUACAGAAUAAGCACCGGCUAACUACGUGCCAGCCGCCGCAGUAAGAC